UAGGGAAUCUUCGGCAAUGGGGGGAACCCUGACCGAGCAACGCCGCGUGAGUGAAGAAGGUUUUCGGAUCGUAAAGCUCUGUUGUUAAGGAAGAACGAGUGUGAGAAUGGAAAGUUCAUACUGUGACGGUACUUAACCAGAAAGGGACGGCUAACUACGUGCCAGCAGCCGCGGUAAUACGUAGGUCCCGAGCGUUGUCCGGAUUUAUUGGGCGUAAAGCGAGCGCAGGCGGUUAGAAAAGUCUGAAGUGAAAGGCAGUGGCUCAACCAUUGUAGGCUUUGGAAACUGUUUAACGUGAGUGCAGAAGGGGAGAGUGGAAUUCCAUGUGUAGCGGUGAAAUGCGUAGAUAUAUGGAGGAACACCGGUGGCGAAAGCGGAUCUCUGGUCUGUAACUGACGCUGAGGCUCGAAAGCGUGGGUAGCAAACAGG
rnacentral:rRNA from 1 species